AUCCAGAUGACGAGUUCCAAACAAGACGAAGAGCACGUCCUGGAU
rfam:Schistosoma mansoni strain Puerto Rico chromosome 1, complete genome